UAGGGAAUCUUCGGCAAUGGACGAAAGUCUGACCGAGCAACGCCGCGUGAGUGAAGAAGGUUUUCGGAUCGUAAAACUCUGUUGUUAGAGAAGAACAAGGACGUUAGUAACUGAACGUCCCCUGACGGUAUCUAACCAGAAAGCCACGGCUAACUACGUGCCAGCAGCCGCGGUAAUACGUAGGUGGCAAGCGUUGUCCGGAUUUAUUGGGCGUAAAGCGAGCGCAGGCGGUUUCUUAAGUCUGAUGUGAAAGCCCCCGGCUCAACCGGGGAGGGUCAUUGGAAACUGGGAGACUUGAGUGCAGAAGGGGAGAGUGGAAUUCCAUGUGUAGCGGUGAAAUGCGUAGAUAUAUGGCGGAACACCAGUGGCGAAGGCGGCUCUCUGGUCUGUAACUGACGCUGAGGCUCGAAAGCGUGGGGAGCAAACAGG
rnacentral:rRNA from 1 species